AUUCAACACCCAAUUGACUGAGCCACCAAGGUGCCCCUCACCAUAAUUACUUCAAUAAUUACUAGUUUACAUAAAACAUUUUUUUUUGACAGAUAAAGAUUUGUUUUAUUGAAGAACUUAUCUGUGUUGCUGCCAAAACCACUAUGUACAGACAACAGAGAGGAGAUUUUAUUUCUUGGUCUCUUCCUCCUUGGACAGAGUCUUGAUGAUUUCCUCCUUCUUGGCCUGGAGCCUCUCUUCACGGCGCUCGCGUGCUUCCUUGGUCUUAGAUCUGCGGGCCUCAGCCUGGUCAAUGUGGCGGUCAAUCUUCUUAGAUUCACGGUAUCUUCUAAGCUGCCAGCGCAGAAUUCUCAUCCUCCUCAUCCAGGUUACCUUCUCAGGCAUUCGGGCAUUGGCAGUACCCUUUCUCUUACCCAUGCCCAUAUGUCUGCCCUUCGGCGGGCCAAAGUGUUUUUCCAGCAUCGAGCCCGGGAAUGGACAGUCACAGGUUUCCGGAUGAUCAGCCCAUCUUUGAUCAGUUUCCGGAUCUGCUGACGGGAGUUGGCAUUGGCGAUUUCACCUGUCUCAUUGGAAUCCAACCAGACCUUCUUUUUGCCACAGCGGAGGACACUGGAGGCAAGCCUCUUCUGAAGCCUGAGCAUACUCAUGGCUGCAGCCGCAGCGCCGAAAGGAAAGAACUCUAAAAUAAUUUUUCUAAUUCAAGUUUAAAUUUAUAUUGGAAAUGUUUAUACCAAGUUUGAACUAUAU
rnacentral:lncRNA from 1 species